GUGUUUGGCACCUCGAUGUCGGCUCAUCACAUCCUGGGGCUGAAGUAGGUCCCAAGGGUAUGGCUGUUCGCCAUUUAAAGUGGUACGCGAGCUGGGUUUAGAACGUCGUGAGACAGUUCGGUCCCUAUCUGCCGUGGGCGCUGGAGAACUGAGGGGGGCUGCUCCUAGUACGAGAGGACCGGAGUGGACGCAUCACUGGUGUUCGGGUUGUCAUGCCAAUGGCACUGCCCGGUAGCUAAAUGCGGAAGAGAUAAGUGCUGAAAGCAUCUAAGCACGAAACUUGCCCCGAGAUGAGUUCUCCCUGACUCCUUGAGAGUCCUGAAGGAACGUUGAAGACGACGACGUUGAUAGGCCGGGUGUGUAAGCGCAGCGAUGCGUUGAGCUAACCGGUACUAAUGAACCGUGAGGCUUAACCUUACAACGCCGAAGGUGUUU
rnacentral:rRNA from 1 species